UUCUUUUCCUCUUCUUGCUGCUGCUGGAGUCGUCGAUGGCACUACCAGAGCUUGCUAACGGUUAUACUGCCACCUAGCUAAUAUUCCGGGCUGUGGCUCAGGAGGAAGAGCAGGAUGUCCAUUAAUCACAGGGUUUUCAUCAGCAAGACGUUAAACCCCAAAUUGCCCCCAAUGGCCAGCAGGUGGUACCUUGAGAGAAACUGGAGCCUGGACCAGUGGUGACACUGAAGCGAGUGGUGGCCACCCGCAGGGUGCUGACAUUCUUCUGUGGCUGGAACAGGAUGAUGUGGACCUUGGGAGAAAAGAGGCAGCCCAGCACCACCGACCCACUCAGACUGACAGAGAUACACAUGGUGGUGGUUUGCACCUGGAGGAUGAAAGAGAGGGAAGAAAUUCACUUAAAAAGACAAAAGUCACCAUGAAGUUGCAGACAUGACACAUGGGAAGAGAGAUGGCUACAAGGGUCCCCAGGUAAAAUCAAACAGGGGAUUUUGCAUUUAUAUGGCAUGCGUAGUAAGUGUUCAGCUACCAGGGUGCUCUGAAAAUUGCCAAUCUUAAUUCAACACUGCCAGUGUUCAUGUGGACAUACAACUAAUGUCCCAGUGUUAAUUAAUGUUGCUUUUUUUCAGCCACAUUUUUGGUUGUUAAAAAUGUUUAUUGAAGUGUUGUUUAUUCAACCAUAGAGCUUAUCCAGCUCAGAAUUGAGGAUUUAAAACAUCCAAACAGUGUUAAAUUAACUCCACUCGUGUGGAAUCAUAUAAGCAUCAGCAGAGUGUUGAGGACCAUUUAGCUGCUCAAGAAUAUCCGUUUUAAUAAGGAAAGGGCUCAGAAAUCGUAAAAGAAAUGAUAAAGCCAUUUUUCAAAAUUCUGAAUCCAAGGCAGGAGGAAGGAGGACGCUAUCAGCUGGGACUGCUAAAGAGAGGUGUUUAACGAUCUGUUUAUUUGCCUGUCAAUCAAAUGCUUAACCCUUGUUCCUCUUUCCCCUCACUCUGCCCACAUCUCGCUAUACGUGUCAUCUGUCUGUCUACUUCUUUAUUUCUAAUGUUCUUGCAGCUUUCUUUUUGUUAUUCUUGGAUAACGGGAUACAGCUCAGCACCGUGUGGCAGGUGCAUCCCAUUUUCACAAGGCACAGUACGUGUCUGUCAUCACUGUGAAUGCUAAUGUUGGUAUUAAAAUAAUAUGGGCAACAAGUAUUAUGCUGUGCACACACAGUUUGGCAACAAAGAUAAAAUGAUAAUAGCAGAUAUACAGCAUCCAUUAGUUUAGGCAGGGAUGUACAAAGUCAAUUUACCCAAUUUUAUUUACAGAACAUUGUUUGAUCAUCUUCCAUGAAUCUUUAUCUGUUUCUUACUCUGUUACAAUACAUAAUUACUAAUUACCUCAAAAGUACCCCUCAACUGAUAAUAAAUGAUAUGGCAGUAUAAUAGAGAAAAAGUUCUGUACAAUGAUGAUUUGCUGAUUAUAUAUUUGAUAUAUAUAUAUAUAUUUUUGCUCUAUGUGUUCACUGACUAAAGGUCAUAGCGUACUAUGUCCUGUGAAAUUUACCAUUCUAUCAUGAAUUCAUCUCUAUCUUGAGAUGUACUGUGGGUUGUCAUGUUCCAUGAAUUCAAAAUUAGGAUUCACCUCAUGCAGUAUCUGAAAUACAGCACACAUACUAACAGGCUCAUGUCCUGGGUUGAGAUGUAAAUUCACAAGAACCUACUGUUGCCAUUUUCCCUAUAUCUGUACUGUAUAUUUGAAUACAUGGAGUAAGGGGAACAUACAAAGGCAAAGUAAUUGUCAAAUCUAAGCAAUACCACGGUGAACAAAAGCUAAAUGUCCUCUACUUAACUCAGAAAUAGUUUUGAAUAAACCCGCAGACAGCUCUGCAUAGGAAUGACCUGUUAAGUGGUUUUAAUAAUUCACAAGAUGUUGCUUAGGAAAAGCAGAGGACAAGGAAUCUGCCUUUGCAGUAAUAUUUUUCCAGAUGUCUUCUGUUCGAGUAUGAAGAGCAGGAUGUAGAGCACAGCUACUAAGGUUUCUGCUUGUCUCUGUUUACUGUUGUUUUUACUGUGUUUGGCCUUUGAAGGCAUUAUUUUAUUUCACAAAUACAGCACCAGUGCUUCAGAUAUAAAUAAUGUCAGCUGUGUUCAGGUAGCUUUGUUCCUCCAGAGAACCUCACAGCAGAGAUGAGUUUCCUCUUUUUAUUGGGCUUUGUGCUGUAUGUUUAUUGAAAAGUUUUAUUAGAUGAACCAGCUACAUGCCAGUCUAGGUAGGCUGGCAUGGACCUUGAAUUGACAAAGCCCAAAAGUAAUAAUCGUAAUAUCGUGAUAUGGCAUAAGUGUUGUCUUUUCCUGGCUUUAAAGGCUGUGUUACAAUAAAGUAGCUGCAUUACAAUGAAGUGAACUUACAUUACUACAUCAUUACUGAUGAUUAUUUAUCAAAAAUCUCUUGUUAAUAUUUUGUGAAAGUAUCCCUACAAUAUUGUUGCAAUAUCAAUAUUGAUGGUAUCUGAUCACAAAUAUUGUGAUAUUUGGUUUUGUCCAUAUCGCCCAGCCCUAGAUGGAAUCUGUCCUGUUUUUUUUAACUUCUUCAAUCAGACUCAAACAAACACAAACAUAUGACAGUAAAAAUGGAAAAAAUACCUGCAAUACCUGAUCCCAACUAGUUUCAUCAGCUGAUCUAGAUAGUGUACUGCUGUAAUUUUAUUUCUUGCACUAAUGCUGAACUGCUGGAAACAAUCCUGUAUUUCCUCCAAGGCAGUGGUUCUCACUGGCAGCAGAACCCCUUCAAGGACCCUGAUGCUUGUACUCUAUCCACUAUGUGUUAUAUAGCACCAUCAAUGGACUCUAUAGCAUUCUAUAGACAAAAAUACAGAGGUGUUGAACUGAUCUGAUCCCAGUCAAAGUAGCUUAAUUAAUAUUAAAAAGACAUGACUUAAGAAAGGUCUGUUUCAAGACAGAUCUUGAAAGGAUCAGUUAAUGUGAUGGGCAGUAGUUGUAAAGAUCACAUGCAAUACUUUUCCGUCUCCCAGUACUGUCUCUCAGUGUUUAAAUAGAAGUGCUGUGACUUUUGACUGCAGUGGCUGUUUAAUCAGUUGUGUUUGCCGUUGAGAUGAGAUGACCAGCACUGGGAUAUGAGGAGAGCCCUCUCCCUCAAGGUGCAGAGAACAUCUUCAAUAUUUCAUAUUGUAAUCAAAUGUGUUAUUCAUGGCUCAGUUGAUUGUAUUUAGUUUGCUUUAACAUUUCAUGACAGACCACAAUCAAAUCUGUAUUAGUUAUUCAGCUGGAGAUUUGCAUCAGGCUGUGACAACAAUUUUCGAAGUGGUGUAAAACUAGGAGAACACUAGUAAUAUGUCCCUGCCUGUGAAAAACUAGAGACACUGUGCCAACUCAGUUGCUUCAGUAAUUAUUUAUCGGUCAAAGGGGAGUUUUGUGUCUAUCUGAUGAGCCUGUUCUGGCUGUGAAUUGCUCACAUUGCCUGGAGGGCCAGGAGGAAGGGUUCCUCUGAGCAUCACUGAAGUCCCAGGACAGAGGGCACAGCUGGGACUCAGCAUCCUAGUCUUUCACACUCCAUUCCACACAGCUACGCACAGGGACGCACAGGGACGUUCAGUUCCCUUUCAGCCCUCAUGGUUUUGCCUGCCUCCUCCAUGUUUCUACAGAGGCAACUGUGUCUGGGGAUUCCUCUAUUUCUCCCUUCUGCCUCCCUCUUGCUGCACUCUGUUCAGAUCCCAGAGGGAUAUACCCCCACAACUCAGGUCACCCUUUUCUCUGAAGUUCUAUCUAUUCUGUGUAUGUAGGCAUCAUGUUAAAUGGUGUAUUUUAUAACCAGGGUUUUUUUGUUUUGUUUUGUUCUGGGUUUUUUUGUUUGUUUGUUUGUUUUUUUUACCAGGGUCAGGUUUAGGUGAAGGAGAAAUGUGAAGGACAUGCUGUGUGUCUUUUAUUGAUAAAAAGCCUAGAAUACACUAAUAAAGUAUUAGCCUACCACUAGUAGAACUAGGGAUUUGUUGUGGACAUAUAUUAUGUUACACUGCUCCAUGACUCGAGCAUCCAUGUUUUAUAAUUUACUCUAAGUUCAUUAAUAUUUACAUUUUAAAGGUAAAAUAAGGCUGUCAAAGUUCUUAUCUUCAAUAUCACCUGAGAGUCUUAAGUAUGUAGAUAAUUAUAAAGAAUUAAAGCAAUGCAGUAAUAAAAAAAAUAUAUUCCUAAGAGCCACAGACAACACAGACAUGGCCGACGGCUGAAUCGAUACUAACUGACAUUAGUUUGCGAUUUCAUGCUUAUAAAAUCCCAAUUCAACCCCAAAAGAAGUAAUUAUCUGAUAUGUAUUCUGCUCAGAUUACUGUUAGAACCCAAAGCCAUUUGAUCAAAAAUUUAGUACAGAUCAUUAGAUCAGCAUGUAUAUCAUUUAGAAAGCAUCAAAUCAACUCUUCAUUGAUAGGAUAAACAUGCACAAUGAUUAUCUUACAAUAAAAUGACUGCAUGUGAAAACACAUGAAGAGGGUAUAACC